CUUUUGUGGGGUGCUCGAGUGGCGAACGGGUGAGUAACACGUGAGUAACCUGCCCUUGACUUUGGGAUAACUUCAGGAAACUGGGGCUAAUACCGGAUAGGAGCUCCUGCUGCACGGUGGGGGUUGGAAAGUUUCGGCGGUUGGGGAUGGACUCGCGGCUUAUCAGCUUGUUGGUGGGGUAGUGGCUUACCAAGGCUUUGACGGGUAGCCGGCCUGAGAGGGUGACCGGCCACAUUGGGACUGAGAUACGGCCCAG
rnacentral:rRNA from 1 species